UACGUAGGGUGCGAAGCGUUAAUCGGAAUUGACUGGGCGUAAAGCGUGCGCAGGCGGCUUUGCAAGACAGAUGUGAAAUCCCCGGGCUUAACCUGGGAACUGCAUUUGUGACUGCAUGGCUGGAGUGCGGCAGAGGGGAUGGAAUUCCGGCGUGUAGCAGUGAAAUGCGUAGAUAUGCGGAGGAACACCGAUGGCGAAGGCAAUCCCCUGGGCCUGCACUGACGCUCAUGCACGAAAGCGUGGGGAGCAAACAGG
rnacentral:rRNA from 1 species